AAUCCAUGAUGAGGAAGCCUUCUCAAAAGAUCCAUAAAUCUCUCCCAUGCAUCAUAUGUCUCCAAAUCAAUUUGAGAAAAAGAAGAGAUGUCGUUCCUCAACCU
rfam:Gossypium raimondii Chr04_contig_262, whole genome shotgun sequence.